UCACGUGACGGGCCGGCCGGGCGCGCGCCGCGGCAGAGGCGUAAACAGGCUGCAGCCGGGCGCCCUGCGGCCCGACCCCGGCGGGUUUGGUCUCCUUCGGGUCCGCCCGGGCGGAUCCUGUGGACCCUCGCGGGAGGGGCGGCGACGCCAAGGCCCAGGGCGGCCCCCGUCCGCCGAGAGCCUCGCUGGCUUCCGCCUUCGGGACGCCGCGGCUUCGCGCCCGGGCCUGGCGGCGCUGGGAACCGACCCAGGCGGGACGAGGCGCCCCGGGGCGGUGUCGCCCCCCGACCCGGUUCCGCCGCGGCUCGGUGGGCGGGAGGCGAGGGUCCGCGGCGCCUGCUCCCCGGGCCGCGCAGGUGCGGCCGAGCCGGGACUGCGGCCGGGGGCUUCGGGCUGGGUUUCCAAGGCGAAGCGGGUUUGGGGACGUGGGAGAGGACAGCCCAGGAGCCGGCGCCUGGUGGGAGGCUGACCGCCUUCGUCCGGGAAGCGAACGGGCCGCGGGGCCGGGCAGCCUGUGCUGGGGCCCGGGGUGUGCACGGGGGCUGCCGGCGGGUCGCCCAGGGCAGGUAGGACGAAGGACGCGCUCUGGGCGAGCAGAUGCCCGGCCUGGGCCCUGAGCCGUGGACGAACUUUGAGCAGAGAUUUAGGGACGCACAGGCUUACGAGCUGGGGGGCGGGGGCGGGGGUGGGGGGCGCUGGUCCAGCCUGGUCUCCGAGGCGAGAUCUGUGGAUGGAAACAGGCCGGGCUUUGACGGCAGCUGUAGCCAUCGCGCUAACGGGGCGAACCUCGGCUUCUGCAUCUGGGACCUGGGGUCGUAACGCCUCGUUCGUUCGUGGGAGUGCGGGGUGGGCUCGGGAAAGCUACAAGGGGACCUCAAAGUGUGUGUGGGAACAUGGAAGUAAAGCAAACGUUUGCAAAGAAAAUUAAAAAUCCGCGCGGCUCUUCGUGAUCCUCAUUUUCCGUGAGUGUCUUGAAGACGCUGUGCGUAACGCAGCCGCUGCUUCCGUUCGCGUUCGUUUUCCUGUUGCUGCGCUCGCCAGCAGUAGCUGUCACUCCCCGGGUGGGUCCAGCCUGCUCAUUUUGCUGGAGGAUAGCGUGGGGAGCGGGCUCGGGUUCUGUCAGCGCCCCCGGGGCGCGGGAGCUGGCUCCCGGCUUUGCGCUCACCGCAGUGCAGGGCGCUGGCGUGUUCAGAGACGCCUGGGACCGCCAGGGUCUGGGGGCGCUCAGAGUGAGGAGGGGGCAGGCAGCGCUCUGGGGGCCUCCUCUCCUGUCCCCUCCUUGGCCGCACCCGGCAGGAAUGCUUGCUACUGCACAGAAGAGCGUGGUGCAGAGCUCAACUGCUGGCUCUCGAGGGGGCCGUCCCCGCGUCCUACUCUGGAAGAGGACCGGUGAUUGUCUUAGCGUGGACCACCGGGGCAGAGACGGCCGUGCGGGGGUAGCGUACGCUCCGCUGGGUUGAUUUCUGCUAAACAGAUGUCAAUCAGAGAGCUACCUCCAGGCGCCACCUGCAGCCUCCCUGGGGCAGGGCCUUCCUGGCUGGCCCGCGUCAAGGCGGAGCCCUGUGGACCGGUGCUGCUGAUGUACAUGGUGGACAGCCGUUGCGUGUGUGCCCCUUCUGAGGAAGCGGAUCGCCCCUCCGGGAUUCCUCCUGUGCUCGCGGCCUGACCACAUAGCACCACCCCCAGACCACCACGUGCGGACCAGGCCUGGCCAAGCAGAGGCCCCCAUCAUCUAACCAGGUUGACUGGCGCGUUGUCGGACAUGGGACUUGAGCCAGGCCGGUCAGCCUGCUUCCCUGGGUCCUUAUCUGUGGAUGCUGAAAGAGAGGUUUUUCUCUUCCUCUGAGGGUCACAGAAGUGGCACCGGGAGCCGUGGUCCUCUGUCCUGUCCCACAGGAAACUGAGUAAGAAGUCUGGCCAGAAGAGGAAAGAGAGACAGAGAAAUGCAGGUUGCUGUCCUCCGUUUGAGCUGUUCUUGGGCUUCAGCUUCCAGCUGCCUGCGGGGCGGCCCCCAUCCGGUCACUCCGCCCUUGUACACGGCUCCUGUAGGUCAGAGCCCAAGCCCCCAAGGCCCCCGCAGUCCCGUCCCUUCCCCUCACUGUCUAGCUCCGUGUCCUCCGAGGACGUGGUCCUGCCCUGCUCAGGCCGGCUCCCCCGUCCGUCACGGCUCCCCACCCUGUGCUGGUCUUUCACUGUCUAGGCUGCCUCGUGCUGUCGCACCUGAGCCGGCCUGUGCCUCCUUGUUGCGUUUGACCAAGUUGAGGCAGGGCCAGUGGACGGAGGAAGAGGCCCUCCCACAGGGCUGCCCGGCUCCCCCCCCCCAUCCCCUAGAGGUGACAGUGCCUCCCCGCCGUCACUGCCCACCCGGCUCCCCCGUGUGUUAGCAAUGCCCCCCCCCACUCAUCCCCUAGAGGUGACAGUGCCUCCCCGCGGUCACUGCCCACCCGGCUCCCCUGUGUGUUAGCAAUGGCUCCCCCCCACACACUCAAACCCUAGAGGUGACAGUGCCUCCCCGCGGUCACUGCCCACCCGGCUUCCCCGUGUGUUAGCAAUGGCUCCCCCCCCCACUCAUCCCCUAGAGGUGACAGUGCCUCCCCGUGGUCACUGCCCACCCGGCUCCCCCGUGUGUUAGCAAUGGCUCCCCCUGCCCCCACUCAUCCCCUAGAGGUGACAGUGCCUCCCCGCGGUCACUGCCCACCCGGCUCCCCCGUGUGUUAGCAAUGGCUCCCCGCCACACUCAAACCCUAGAGGUGACAGUGCCUCCCCGCGGUCACUGCCCACCCGGCUUCCCCGUGUGUUAGCAAUGGCUCCCCCCCACACACUCAAACCCUAGAGGUGACAGUGCCUCCCCGCGGUCACUGCCCACCCGGCUCCCCUGUGUGUUAGCAAUGGCUCCCCCCCACACACUCAAACCCUAGAGGUGACAGUGCCUCCCCGCGGUCACUGCCCACCCGGCUUCCCCGUGUGUUAGCAAUGGCUCCCCCCCCCACUCAUCCCCUAGAGGUGACAGUGCCUCCCCGCGGUCACUGCCCACCCGGCUUCCCCGUGUGUUAGCAAUGGCUCCCCCCCACACACUCAAACCCUAGAGGUGACAGUGCCUCCCCGCGGUCACUGCCCAGGGAGUUCCCCACUGUUUGUUUCUCUAAAGCUACUUGCACCUCUGGCUUUUUAAUUUCCCUUUUGAGGUGUGCUGAUGCCGCACCCCCUUCUGAGAGAACGUGCCCACGGCCUGAGCUGCCCGCUGAGAACCACCCCAGACUCACGGGUGCUCACAGCGCUGAGUGGGCCUGGGUCCGCCCCUGAAAAGCUUCUCACUGAGCCAGCCAGAUUCUCCUUCCUGCUGCUUUGCAGGAAAGACCCCGGGCAUUGGUUGAGGCUUGCGACUGCACAACUCCAGGGGGCACCAUUCGAACGGCUGUGCUCCUGGGGAUUCAGGUCACCUAAACACAGGCCCCACGUGCACGCCCUCUGGGUUGUGCGGCAAGGCAGCGCUGUGUUGGCCGGCAUACGGCUUUGCAUCCAGCACCUUGGACAGCAGAGAGGAAGCAGGACGAGCAGCUAAGAGGUUGCUGGGAAGCAGGUAUGCCCCCGGGGGAGCAGGCCUGGUGAGGAGGAACACAGGGCCCUGGGGAGGCGGGAGAGCACAGGACAACAGCUCACGGCCGUGAGGCCUGGCCACACCUGCUGCUCCUGUUGGAAGGUACCUGGGUGCCUCUUCAAAACAUGUUCGCUUUCCCCGAGCCGUGUUCCUGACCAGCACGUGAGCCCACAGGUGGCAAGAACGCCUUCCCUUCUUCACCUGGGUGACACCUGCUCACACCUGUUCUUCUGCCCGGAGUCAGCUGCAACGUGACUUCCACUAGGAAAACUCGGGACCUGGAGGAGGGAGGAGGGGCACCUGCCAGCCGUGAAAUGCCUGCUUCCUGCGGUGUGUGUGCAGGAGUGGGCCUGUCUCCCUCCAAACUCUCAAGGCUCUCUCUGCUGUCCCCAGGAGGUGUGCUAGUUCAAGGUCAGACGCCAAGGUUGAAACCCGGCGUCCACGUCAGAGCUCCCUGCUCGUGGGUCUGCAAAGGGCAGUGGGAGGUGGCCCAGAUCUCUGUGAAGGCCAAGAAAGUGGGUCAGUCCUGCCUCCUGCCAGCUGACGGAGGCCCCAGCUGCCGCGGCCACACUUGCAACAGGGUCACACAUCCACGACCUCUCUCGGCCAGGGGCCAAGCAACCACAGGGAUCCUCGUGGAGGCCAGUCCUUCUGAGGUGGGGGGCGUCAGCUGGAGGCCGUCAUCUGACUGAGGGGCCCUCUCCUGAGACUGCAGUGCAUUGUGGGACUCCUCCUCACAGCCCCCCACCCACCCCGUGUCAGAUCUGCAUCACUGUGUUCUUCCAUUUUCUGUCGCUAUCGAGAAAUGCCCGAGGCCGGGCACUUGCAAGAGAAAAGCCGUUUAUGCAGCUCACAGAUUCGGAGGCUGGACGUCCAAGGUCAGGCUGCUCCCUGGAGUUGGCCUCUGCCGAGAGCCUCCUUGGCUACACCACAUGACAGGAAGCCAGAGACCAGGACGGAGUCCGUGGUUAACAUCACUCCCAGCUCGCUCACAGGCACUGCCUGGGUCCCGUGAGAGUGACUUGAUCUCCUCCGAGGGAAGACUCCAGCACCCAGUCACCCUCCAGCAGGCUCCACCCGCUGCACCUGCCCCACCUCAGCACCCCACGCUGCGGACCAAGCGUCCAGCACACAGGCCCCUGGGCCCACACUGAAGCCCCCAAACCGGGCACUGUCCGAGGGCUCUCCACCCUCUCCAGUGGCCUCGCCUGUUAGCGUUCGGUACCAGGCACUGUAUAGUUCCUAAUCUUAAUUUUGUGCGUUUCUGAGUUUUUCAGUUUAGGCUUGGUUAUCACUGAAGUAGAGAAAUUCUUGUUGAUUUUUUUGUUAGGUUCUUACAUCUAGUUGAACUCUUUGAUUCUAAUAGUUCGUCACUUACACUAAUAGUUCGUCACUUAUUGUUUACUUAUUUGGUUAUGAGGUAGAGAAUCAGAGAGAGAGAGAGACAGAGCUCCCCUCUGCUGGUUCACUCCCCAAGUGCCCACAGUAGCUCCCAGCAGGGGCCAGGAGCAGGAACCCAGCCCAGGUCUCCCAUGUGGGUGCAGGGCCGUCACCACGGCCUCUCAGGCCUGCACUGGCCGGAAGCUGGCCUCAGGAAGGGAGCCCGGCGUUGAACACAGGCACUGUGAUGCAGGAGGUGGCACCUUAACCCCUGGGCCAAAAGUCUGCCCUGGUUUUGAUGGUUGGUUUUUCUUGGUAUCUGUUCAUGUCAACUGGAAAUGAAACAGUUCUGGGCCGGCGCCGCAGCUCACUAAGCUAAUCCUCCGCCUUGCGGCGCCGGCACACCAGGUUCUAGUCCCGGUCGGGGCGCCAGAUUCUGUCCCUGUUGCCCUUCUUCCAGGCCAGCUCUCUGCUGUGGCCAGGGAGUGCAGUGGAGGAUGGCCCAAGUCCUUGGGCCCUGCACCCCAUGGGAGACCAGGAGGAAGCGCCUGGCUCCUGGCUUCGGAUCAGCGUGGUGCACUGGCUGCAGUGGCCAUUGGGGGAUGAACCAACAGAAAAUGAAGACCUUUCUCUCUGUCUCUCUCUCUCUCACUGUCCACUCUGCCUGUCAAAAAAAACAAUAUGUAUCCAUAACUCAUUACCUUCUCUGUGCAAUGGCUAGUAUUACAGGUCAGUUGAAUUUACAAACCUUGUAUCACUCUCCUUCUGUUUCCUGCCUCCUGUUCUCUGUUCUACUGUUGUCAUGGGUUUUGCUGCUACAUAGGUUGCAAGCACCACGAAACAUUGUUUUAAAUAUGUAUUUAAUUGAGAGGCGGGAUCUUUCAUCUACUGGUGUACCCCCCAAAUAGCCACAGAAGCUGGGACUGGGCCAGACCAAAGCCAGGAACUCAGAGCUUCAGCUGGUUCUCCCACGUGGGUGCAGGGGUCCAAGCACUUGGCCAUCUUCUGCCGCUUUACCAGGCGCAUCAGCAGGGAGCUGGAUUGGAAGCAGAGCAGCCGGGACUCAAACUGCUGCUCCAAUAUGGGAGGCUGGCGUUGCAGGCUGUGGCUUCAUGCGCUGGGCCACAACACCUGCCCCAUUGUUAUUGUUUUUAAAUAAGCGAUUAUGUUUAAAGAAAUAAACAGAAAAAAUGUU